rnacentral:rRNA from 1 species
UACGUAGGUCGCAAGCGUUGUCCGGAUUUACUGGGCGUAAAGAGCGCGCAGGCGGCUGGUCAAGUCCGAUGUGAAAUCUCCCGGCUCAACUGGGAAACUGCAUCGGAAACUGAUCGGCUUGAAGAUGGGAGAGGGUAGUGGAAUUCCCGGUGUAGUGGUGAAAUGCGUAGAUAUCGGGAGGAACACCAGUGGCGAAGGCGACUACCUGGCCUGUUUCUUGACGCUGAGGCGCGAAAGCUAGGGGAGCAAACGGGGAU